rnacentral:rRNA from 1 species
UGGGGAAUUUUGGACAAUGGGGGAAACCCUGAUCCAGCCAUCCCGCGUGUGCGAUGAAGGCCUUCGGGUUGUAAAGCACUUUUGGCAGGAAAGAAACGUCAUGGGUUAAUACCCCGUGAAACUGACGGUACCUGCAGAAUAAGCACCGGCUAACUACGUGCCAGCAGCCGCGGUAAUACGUAGGGUGCAAGCGUUAAUCGGAAUUACUGGGCGUAAAGCGUGCGCAGGCGGUUCGGAAAGAAAGAUGUUAAAUCCCAGAGCUCAACUUUGGAACUGCAUUUUUAACUACCGGGCUAGAGUGUGUCAGAGGGAGGUGGAAUUCCGCGUGUAGCAGUGAAAUGCGUAGAUAUGCGGAGGAACACCGAUGGCGAAGGCAGCCUCCUGGGAUAACACUGACGCUCAUGCACGAAAGCGUGGGGAGCAAACAGG